rnacentral:rRNA from 1 species
UCAGGAUGAACGCUAGCUACAGGCUUAACACAUGCAAGUCGAGGGGCAGCAUGGGGUAGCAAUACUCAGAUGGCGACCGGCGCACGGGUGAGUAACACGUAUCCAACCUGCCGCUUACUCGGGGAUAGCCUUUCGAAGGAAAGAUUAAUACCCGAUGGUAUAAAGAGUUCGCAUGUUCUCUUUAUUAAAGAAUUUCGGUAAGCGAUGGGGAUGCGUUCCAUUAGAUAGUUGGCGGGGUAACGGCCCACCAAGUCUACGAUGGAUAGGGGGUUCUGAGAGGAAGGUCCCCCCACAUUGGAACUGAGACACGGUCCAAACUCCUACGGGAGGCAGCAGUGAGGAAUAUUGGUCAAUGGACGAGAGUCUGAACCAGCCAAAAGUAGCGUGAAGGAUGACUGCCCUAUGGGUUGUAAACUUCUUUUAUAAGGGAAUAAAGUGAGGGACGUGUCCCUUUUUGUAUGUACCUUAUGAAUAAGGAUCGGCUAACUCCGUGCCAGCCGCCGC